rnacentral:rRNA from 1 species
GGCCGCGGGUAAUUCGAUUACUGCUCANUAACACGUGGACAAUCUGCCCUGAAGUGGAGGAUAAUCCCGGGAAACUGGGGGUAAUACUCCAUAGUUCGUGCUGACUGGAGUGUUAUGCGAACGAAAGAUCCGUCGCUUUAGGAUGAGUCUGCGGCCGAUUAGGUAGUUGUUGGGGUAACGGCCCAACAAGCCUGUCAUCGGUACGGGUUGUGGGAGCAAGAGCCCGGAGAUGGAUUCUGAGACACGAAUCCAGGCCCUACGGGGCGCAGCAGGCGCGAAAACUUUACCAUGCGGGCAACCGUGAUAAGGAAACCCCGAGUGCCAGCACAGGCUGGCUGUCCGCCAGUGUAAAUAACUGGUGAAGAAAGGGCCGGGCAAGACCGGUGCCAGCCGCCGCGGUAAUACCGGCGGCUCGAGUGGUGGCCACUAUUACUGGGCUUAAAGGGUCCGUAGCUUGAUAUGCAAGUCUCUUGAGAAAUCCGCCAGCUUAACUGGUGGGCGUUCAGGGGAAACUGCAUUUCUAGGGACCGGGAGAGGUGAGAGGUACUGCCGGGGGUAGGAGUGAAAUCCUGUAAUCCCGGUGGGACCACNUAUGGCNAAGGCAUUNUCACCNGAACGGGUCCGACAGUGAGGGNACGAAAGCUGGGGGA